rnacentral:tRNA from 1 species
GGAGGGAUGGCCGAGUGGUUUAAGGCGGCGGUCUUGAAAACCGCUGUAGCCCUUGUGGUUACCGGGGGUUCGAAUCCCUCUCCCUCCG